UCAGAACGAACGCUGGCGGCGUGGAUAAGACAUGCAAGUCGAACGGGAACUUUACUGGUAGCAAUACCGGUAAAGUUCUAGUGGCGAACGGGUGCGUAACACGUGGGCAAUCUGCCUUAAAGUGGGGGAUAGCUCGGCGAAAGCCGAAUUAAUACCGCAUGUGAUUACCGGAGACAUCUUUGGAACAUCAAAGUCGGGGCAACCUGACGCUUUUUGAGGAGCCCGCGGCCUAUCAGCUAGUUGGUGAGGUAAUGGCUCACCAAGGCUCUGACGGGUAGCUGGUCUGAGAGGACGACCAGUCACACUGGAACUGAGACACGGUCCAGACACCUACGGGUGGCAGCAGUCGAGAAUUUUUCUCAAUGGGGGAAACCCUGAAGGAGCGACGCCGCGUGGAGGAUGAAGGUCUUCGGGUUGUAAACUCCUGUCAUUUGGGAACAAUGCUUACGUAUUAACUGUACGUGAGUUGAUAGUACCAGAAGAGGAAGAGACGGCUAACUCUGUGCCAGCAGCCGCGGUAAUACAGAGGUCUCAAGCGUUGUUCGGAUUCAUUGGGCGUAAAGGGUGUGUAGGUGGCGCGCUAAGUCGGGUGUGAAAUUUCGGAGCUUAACUCCGAAACUGCAUUCGAUACUGGCGUGCUUGAGGACUGGAGAGGAGACUGGAAUUCAUGGUGUAGCAGUGAAAUGCGUAGAGAUCAUGAGGAAGACCAGUGGCGAAGGCGGGUCUCUGGACAGUUCCUGACACUGAGACACGAAGGCCAGGGGAGCAAACGGGAUUAGAUACCCCGGUAGUCCUGGCAGUAAACGGUGCACGUUUGGUGUGGGAGGAUUCGACCCCUUCUGCGCCGGAGCUAACGCGUUAAACGUGCCGCCUGGGGAGUACGGUC
rnacentral:rRNA from 1 species